CGAAAGCGGUGCUAAUACCGAAUGUCGUCACAGGGACCGUGGUCCCUGGGAUGAAAUGUGACCUCUCCAUGGAAGUUGCCGUUCGGGGAGGGGCUCGCGUACCAUUAGCUUGUUGGUGGGGUAAUGGCCUACCAAUGCUACGAUGGUUAGCUGGUCUGAGAGGAUGAUCAGCCACACUGGCACUGAAACACGGGCCAGACUCCUACGGGAGGCAGCAGUGAGGAAUUUUGCGCGAUGGGGGAAACCCUGACGCAGCAACGCCGCGUGAGUGAAGAAUGCUUUCGGGUCGUAAAGCUCUGUCAAGUGGGAAAAACGUCUUCCCGUUAACAGCGGGAAGGCCUGAUGGUACCACUGGAGGAAGCACCGGCUAACUCCGUGCCAGCAGCCGCGGUAAUACGGAGGGUGCAAGCGUUGUUCGGAAUUACUGGGCGUAAAGAGCGUGUAGGCGGCAAGGUAAGUCAGGCGUGAAAGCCCUGGGCUUAACCCGGGAAGUGCGUUUGAAACUGCCUCGCUCGAGUAUGGGAGAGGAGAGUGGAAUUCCCGGUGUAGAGGUGAAAUUCGUAGAUAUCGGGAGGAACACCCGUGGCGAAGGCGACUCUCUGGACCAAUACUGACGCUGAGACGCGAAAGCGUGGGGAGCAAACAGGAUUAGAUACCCUGGUAGUCCACGCCGUAAACGAUUAGCACUAAGGUGUAGCGGGGUU
rnacentral:rRNA from 1 species